UUUCGACAAGUGUCCCAUUUUGCGUAGAUAUCUCAUUAAUUGAGUUUCAUGACCGAUUUGACUUUCCAGACAAUUUAAUUUCAUGCCUUCGGGGUCCCAUUGUGGAUAUAGUUGUGUCCACAUAUUUUCUCAAGAAUAAGUUAUUCGCGGUAUUGGCAUCUAUUAAAAGAUUAUCGUAUAUAUAGAGGAUAAUCUACGCCGGGUGUAGUAUAAUCAAUGACAGUUUUGUACAGCGCAUUCAGUGUCGUCAUUAUUUUUUUUGUACUCUGAGGAAUCAUCAUGUCACAUAUACUCUCGAUCUUCAUAAUCUCAAGCCUUCUAAUUUUCACUAACGGUGAAAGAAACUGUUCGAAGAACGCGGUUUAUGAGCAUCGCAAAAUAUUCUGGAUUCCCACGUGCGAUGAACCCAACCCAGUAUCGGCUUUUAUAACCAUAAAUGGUUGUUUCUGUGAAAAAGGCUACAUAAGACUGUACAGGACCAAUGGAAGACUUGGGCCGUGCAUUGAAAAAUCGGCAUGUCCUGUCAAAACAUAAAGAAAUUGAAUAAUUAAUCACUUUGUAGUUAUGAUUUCUAAUUCAAUUGCGUUGAGGAUUUAUAAUACAUGGAAAGUCGAUGAACUUUUCGAGUAAACGAGUAGAAACUUUAUCAAUAAACUCAGCUGCU